rnacentral:rRNA from 1 species
UACAGAGGUGGCGAGCGUUGUUCGGAUUUACUGGGCGUAAAGGGUGCGUAGGUGGUUGCCUAUGUCGGGUGUGAAAGCCCACGGCUUAACCGUGGAACGGCAUUCGAAACUGGGUGACUUGAGUGCAGGAAGGGAGAGCGGAAUUCUUGGUGUAGCGGUGAAAUGCGUUGAUAUCAAGAAGAACACCGGUGGCGAAGGCGGCUCUCUGGAAUGUUACUGACACUGAGGCACGAAAGCUGGGGGAGCAAACAGG